CCUGCUGUCACCUUGAUUUUAAGCCAGUGAUGUUGAUUUCAGACUCUGGCCUCUGGAACUUCCUUUCAGAAAUUCUCUAGAGCCUGAAAAAGUCACCCUGCCGAGGAUCAACUUCUUCACCCCAGAACAAGGCAGAGCAGAAGGAUGGAUCUGAGUGCAAACAGGUCCAGGACCAGCACACCAUAUGCCGACCUUGAGAAGGAAAUUCACUGAGCCAUUCCUUACGAGUGUUCCCAGGAGAAACAGGAAAGUGAGAAGUCAAGUCGGUCCAAGAAGAAUAAAGAGGCCAAGCCCAGUUGCAUAUCAGCAAUCUCACAGAGAGAGCUGCCUCAGUCCCUCGAGGCACAGUGACCCAUGAUAUUCAAGGUGGUGGCUCCUUUGUCAGAUGAAUUCCUGAGUGACCAUAAGCAGAGAUCUCCUAACGACCCAUGAUGGGUAGUGUGAGCAAGUAUGAACCAUCUAGUGGAGCAAGAAAUAGUGCCUAUAUAAGCACUGAGAUUUGAGGAUGGUUUGUUACCAGAGAAUUGCCUACCUUAUCC
rnacentral:lncRNA from 10 species